CCUGCGUGACAAACACGUCUGCCCACUUCCCGGUCAUGGCACCACCUCGAUUACCUCCGCUUCCGGUGACAU
rnacentral:sRNA from 1 species